AGCUUCCGCUCUCGUAACGAACGGUCCGAGCGAGCGACUCGUCCGCUCCCGCUCUAGCUCGCCGCUCACCGAAAAAGGCGAGGGCGUUCGCAUUCCGCUCUAGCUCAGAGCGCGCUCGUUUCAACUCUGGUCUCAAUGACAUGAUUUUCUGGCAGUUGGAGGAAGAGUGAUCACCAUUUGCAUUAAAUGAAUUUUCAGGUUAAUAACUUGAAUAUUCAAUUUUUGAUAGUGGCUCUGUGUGAAAUGACCAAGAGACAUGAGGAGAAAGGCCUCUCGCAAGAAAUCGUUCGCCUAUUUCAAGGAAAUAUCCGACGAAAGUGUAACAGAAUUCCCAUUCUGCAAGCGUGGCUUCUUUCUUUUCUCUCCCCCACAUCCCUCGUCUCACAUACUCCACUAGAACCCACCGUCCGACACAGCACACUGACGUCUUUUAAAGGAUAUUUAUUCAUCCUAACGGCACUAUUAGGAUUUCUUUAUACUGCCCUGAAAUCCUACAAUGACCAAUUAAAGACGAUUUUAGCAGCUGUUGAUGAUCGGCAAAAACUGCUCUAACACACGGAUUUUUAUGGUAACCAAAGCUCUUAUUUUGGCGUUAACUGGGACGACUUUUUGCUCUAUGAAAAAAUCGCUUAUAUUAUUAUACUGCCAUCGAAUUCUAACACGGGUCUCCCGCUUGACAGUCGAGUAGUCUACUAUAUACGCAACAUUCAUUCAUGUUUUACGUAUUUUUAGACUGACUAAUCAUACGGUAACACUUUCAGGCAUCGGAAGACUGGCCAAAUGAUCACCGGUAGCCUAAAAUCCGUUUUCUUCAGCAACCCAAUUGAUGAUAUGGACAACGCCGUCCGGAGAAGUGUACGAGUAAGAUCCUUUAGAAACGGUGCCAAUAUCUUCAGGUUUUGGUCCCACUUGCUUUUGGCUUCUCGGAAACUUUGGUUCCGUCAGCACUCUGGUAUUUCAGAAUGAGAGUAGUAUAACAUGGUUAUCAAAUAUUAAGAAGUGUGACUUACGCGAAAGAAUAGCUACCAUUUCACUGUUAGAGGAGAUUACUUCGAUUUGUUUCUUAUCUCCUGGAGGUGCGGCAAAGUCCAUAGCCAAGAAAAUGAGAGCGACGAUCUGAGUGUGUCUAGUGAAAUACGAUACAUUUUUACGACCAGUGAAAGAGGUCAGAGCUUUAUGGACGUGUACCUGAGCCAGUCGAUGAGUCAGCGAGCGUCUUGAUGACGUGUUUCAGUUUUUGGAGGAGGGAAAAUGAAUCAUCAGAUGCAUUCUAAAAAUUUUCAGGUUAGUUACUUACGAAAUUCAAUUUUGUAAGCAUUUUAACUUAGAUCAGUCAAUCUCAAUUGAAACGCAUGGAUGAUUAGCGUUGCUCGCUGGCAAUCGUCGGUAAAGAAUAACGCUAUGUUUCGUAUUAAAAUAUUGGGGCUCUCAAAAAUUAAUUUUGUUAAUUUACAUAGAAUUUUUGUUUAAAUUCAAUAAUUGUUAAUCAUAAUUUUAUGCUUAAUUUUAUAGUUUAAAAAUAAUUUGUGUGAGUUAAGCGUAAGCAUGUUUAUUUUACGAUUUAACUUACUGAAAUGACCUUUUUUUAAAUUGAAUUGUUUUAAUAUAAUUAAAAUAUGUAGGAUAUUAAUAUUUAUAUCAUAUUAAUAAUUGUUAUCUAGUGCAUAAAUUGUGCCUAUGUCGCUUUAAAACUCUAUAAUUAUUAGUGUAUUUAAAAGCGAAAAAAUUGGCAUAUUUGCAUCAUUUGCCAUAGCGAUAUUUAGCCCUUUUACAUGCCGUUGGCUACUUGACGAAAGCCAAAGUCACGCGACUUUUUGACUUAGUUACCAAAUUGUCCCUUAGUUACCAUCACAACCAUUUGCAAAUGGCAAGAUAUGAUUUUGCCACUGGCAAUAGCGUCUGCUUUUAGCUUUGCGAAAGCAUCAAAAUUUUGCCGCUAAGGACAGCACAUUGGAAGACGCGACCUAACGGUACGACGAAGUGGUGAUUAGUGACAUUCGUCUUAACGGUACGACGUGUGGGCUGAUAUCAAGUUGUCCCAGCCACCACGGAAGAAAAAGUUGAAGCUCGUAACCUGCAAGUGGUGGUGCUGCCAUCUGUUAACGUUUUUUCCCAAGAUCCAACCGGAAACAGCAGUAGGAGACACGUCGUCAUCGAGAUCCCGUGAGAAAAUACGACGUCAAAAAUAAACCAUCAGCAACCUGCUCCAGCGCAACGACCGUGCCAGAUUGGUGGUGAAAAUCACUGAAGAGCCAAUCCAUAGCUUUGUGACGGAAGCAGAUAAAAACCGGAGACAUUUUCCUCUCGAUAUUCCUAUGAAUUAAUAAUGGCAAUUAUAUUAUUGAGUAUAGGAACAAUAUUUUUGGGGUAUAUUGUAAGUUUUACUUAGUGAGAGAUUAGCUGCUCACGAACAACACGGUGUAGUCAGCCUUCCACCCGGAGACCGCGUGGGAGAGGAAUUUUAUUUUUGGUUUAAGGGCAUUGGAUUCCAACUUACUUGAAAACGGGGCAACCAUAGAACUACCAAAAGAAAACUUGAAGGUUAAAAGCAAAGAAGCAA
rnacentral:lncRNA from 1 species